rnacentral:lncRNA from 1 species
CUCGCCUUCUAUACUAAUCAUUGAUAUUAUGUUGAUAGUCCUAAGUAUAAAGCUAAGCUUUAUUACAACUGUCACAUAAACUUAACAUUAACCAAGAUAACUAAACAAAGACCAAUGAACCUUGAAAAAGAGGUCCAGGUCAGAUGAACCAUGCCAGGCAGACAGGUACAGCUACAAUGCUUCUAUACAACAUAUAUAGUUGACACAUUACUUAUAGUUUAAGAAAAAUAGACCAAAACACAAAAAACUUAACACUGUGCAAUGAACCGUGAAAAUGAGGUCACGGUUAAAUAAAACCUGCUCGACUGACAUAAAGAUCAUAAAAUAUUUCCAUACACCAAAUAUAGUUGACCUAUGGCAUAUAGCAUUAGAUAAAAAGACCAAAACUCAAAAACUUAACUUUGACCACCGAACCAUGAAAAUGAGGUCAAGGUCACAUGACAUCUGCCCGCUAGACAUGUACACUUAACAAUCAUUCCAUACAACAAAUAAAGUAGACCUAUUGCAUAUGGUAUGAGAAAAACAGACCAAAACACAAAAAUUUAACUAUAACCACUGAACCAUGAAAAUGAGGUCAAGGUCAGAUGACACCUGCCAGUUGGACAUGUACACCUUACAGUCCUUCCAUACACCGAAUAUACUAGCCCUAUUGCUU